UAAACAUUAAUCCACAUCAGAAAACAAUCAACGAUCUCUUUAGUUACAUAAUGUUCAAAAAAAAACACAACUGAUACGAAAAAAUAAAAAAUCUUCUCUCGUCAUCAUCUCUGUCCUUCUCGAGUCUCAUCUAUGUGUUUCCCCUUUGCUCGAUCUCGAGCUCCGACCACCACUCUGUGGUCUCCACUCACCCGCAAUCGAACACAGUGGCGCCUGAGUCCGUGACCAAACCACACCACGAUAACAUCUCCAUCUUGUUUCGUUCUCGUCGUCAUCGGAACCAUGCCUCACAACGUCAGAAUCAAAGUUGAGAAGAGCAACAAUGGCGUUUCGGCACAAGGUGUCUUCCAAGAUUAGGAUGAGCUCGUUAAAGUGUUGGCAUGUUUAUGCUUCAUUUCCAUUCUCUUGUGUGAAGUUUUUACUUUCAGUCAUGUGUUCAUAAUGAUGCUAAGGUUACAAAGAACUUGUUAUUUUGCUUUUUGAAGUUUGCGAGUAUCAGUAAAGAAAACAAGCGUACGGAGUCCCCCUACUGCUCCUCCUUGUAUUCCUGCUGGCGCUUGCAGUGGAGCUGCAGUUGCCGUAGAAACUAGACCUGCUGAUUGUAGAUCAAGAAACUCUUGAAGGAGUAGUAGAGAUAAAGACUGGAGUAGCGGUUUGUGUUGCUGUUGCUGCCUGGUUUGGAACGGUUAGGCUCAUAGACUUAUAAGCUGUCAGGUCAUUGGUUUUAUCCCAAAACAUUUUUGGUCACGGUUCCUGCAACUAGAUUACAACGUAAAGGUAGUUAUUGUAUGAUCUUGGUACUAAAUGGGUGCGAUGAGGUUGGCUCGUCCACUUUAUGAUGUUGGAGAUCCUUUUCCUAUCUAGCACUAUCUCUCAUGAUGAAGUGCAGUAAGAAGACAGAGAAGUUUGCUGUGAUUCAAAGGCUUUAACAGAUUAGAAAAAAGUUCAUGUUUGAUUUUCUUGUUGACACGGUGAAAAAACAAGAGAAUUUAUAUAGUUCAUAAUGAUAUUUAGAGUUUGUAAUUAUUAUGUCUCAGUGUAAAAUUAAAGUCUGAGUGUAUUUUAAUUUAUAUUUCAAUUGGAUAAAAAAGUUUUGUAUUUUAA